rnacentral:rRNA from 1 species
UACGUAGGCAGCAAGCGUUGUUCGGAAUUACUGGGCGUAAAGGGUGCGUAGGCGGCUUUUUAAGUUUGGUGUGAAAUCUCCCGGCUCAACUGGGAGGGUGCGCCGAAUACUGAGAAGCUAGAGUGUGGGAGAGGAAAGUGGAAUUCCUGGUGUAGCGGUGAAAUGCGCAGAUAUCAGGAAGAACACCCGUGGCUAAGGCGGUUCUCUAGUACGGUACUGACGCUGAGACGCGAAAGCGUGGGGAGCGAACAGG